UACGUAGGGACCAAGCGUUGUUCGGAUUUACUGGGCGUAAAGGGCGCGUAGGCGGCGCGGUAAGUCACUUGUGAAAUCUCUGAGCUUAACUCAGAACGGCCAAGUGAUACUGCAGUGCUAGAGUGUGGAAGGGGCAAUCGGAAUUCUUGGUGUAGCGGUGAAAUGCGUAGAUAUCAAGAGGAACACCUGAGGUGAAGGCGGGUUGCUGGGCCAACACUGACGCUGAGGCGCGAAAGCCAGGGGAGCAAACGGG
rnacentral:rRNA from 1 species